rnacentral:rRNA from 1 species
AUGCUAUUCCUUGCUUUGGUGUGCUUGCUAAUCGGCACAUCUCAACGUCGGUGCAAUGUCCGGACGCCGGAUAUGUCAGCCAUGCAUCAUGACACCUCACAUGAUCUUAAACACCUUGGCGCUAAGCUGAAGGAUAUCCUGGUGGUUGCCGAUACUUCCCUGGAAGCAAGAUACAUAACCCUUCACGUCUGCGACAAGGUCGCGGAGAGAGGCGCGCGCCUGGCUGCUGCCGGCAUAUACGGCAUCCUGAAGAAGCUGGGUAGGGACAGAUCGCCGAGUGAUGGCAGUCUGAAGAAAAGGACCAUCGUCGCCAUAGAUGGAGGCCUCUACGAGAACUACAAGAAGUUCAGCUCCUGCGUUGAAGUGAUGCUCGUAGAGCUGCUCGGGGAGGCAGCAGCCUCGUCGGUCGUCGUCAAGAUGGCCAACGACGGCUCCGGCAUCGGUGCCACGCUCCUUGCGGCCUCACACUCCCAGUACAAUGUCAUCGAGUAG